rnacentral:rRNA from 3 species
CAUGGAGAGUUUGAUCCUGGCUCAGGAUGAACGCUGGCGGCGUGCCUAACACAUGCAAGUCGAACGGGGUAGUAAUACCUAGUGGCGGACGGGUGAGUAACGCGUGAGAAUCUGCCUUCAGGACGGGGACAACAGUUGGAAACGACUGCUAAAACCCGAUGUGCCGAAAGGUGAAAUAUUUAUAGCCUGAAGAGGAGCUCGCGUCAGAUUAGCUAGUUGGUAGAGUAAGAGCCUACCAAGGCGACGAUCUGUAGCUGGUCUGAGAGGAUGAGCAGCCACACUGGGACUGAGACACGGCCCAGACUCCUACGGGAGGCAGCAGUGGGGAAUUUUCCGCAAUGGGCGAAAGCCUGACGGAGCAACGCCGCGUGAGGGAGGAAGGCUCUUGGGUUGUAAACCUCUUUUCUCAAGGAAGAAGUCAGUGACGGUACUUGAGGAAUCAGCCUCGGCUAACUCCGUGCCAGCAGCCGCGGUAAUACGGAGGAGGCAAGCGUUAUCCGGAAUUAUUGGGCGUAAAGAGUCCGUAGGUGGCCAUUCAAGUCUGCUGUUAAAGCGUGGAGCUUAACUCCAUAAAGGCAGUGGAAACUGAAUAGCUAGAGUUCGGUAGGGGUAGCGGGAAUUCCCAGUGUAGCGGUGAAAUGCGUAGAGAUUGGGAAGAACAUCGGUGGCGAAAGCGCGCUACUGGACCGAAACUGACGCUGAGGGACGAAAGCUAGGGGAGCGAAAGGGAUUAGAUACCCCUGUAGUCCUAGCCGUAAACGAUGGAAACUAGGCGUGGCUUGUAUCGACCCGAGCCGUGCCGAAGCUAACGCGUUAAGUUUCCCGCCUGGGGAGUACGCACGCAAGUGUGAAACUCAAAGGAAUUGACGGGGGCCCGCACAAGCGGUGGAGUAUGUGGUUUAAUUCGAUGCAACGCGAAGAACCUUACCAGGACUUGACAUGUCUGGAACCCCGAUGAAAGUUGGGGGUGCCUUAGGGAGCCAGAACACAGGUGCUGCAUGGCUGUCGUCAGCUCGUGUCGUGAGAUGUUGGGUUAAGUCCCGCAACGAGCGCAACCCUCGUUCUUAGUUGCCAUCAUUAAGUUGGGCACUCUAGGGAGACUGCCGGUGACAAACCGGAGGAAGGUGAGGAUGACGUCAAGUCAGCAUGGCCCUUACGUCCUGGGCGACACACGUACUACAAUGGCAGGGACAAAGGGCAGCGACCCCGCGAGGGAGAGCGAAUCUCAUCAAACCCUGCCUCAGUUCAGAUUGCAGGCUGCAACUCGCCUGCAUGAAGGAGGAAUCGCUAGUAAUCGCCGGUCAGCAUACGGCGGUGAAUCCGUUCCCGGGCCUUGUACACACCGCCCGUCACACCAUGGGAGCUGGCCACGCCCGAAGUCGUUACUCCAACCAUUCGUGGAGGAGGAUGCCGAAGGCAGGGCUAGUGACUGGGGUGAAGUCGUAACAAGGUAGCCGUACCGGAAGGUGUGGCUGGAUCACCUCCUUUAUAG